rnacentral:rRNA from 1 species
AUUGAACGCUGGCGGCAUGCCUUACACAUGCAAGUCGAACGGCAGCACGGGGGCAACCCUGGUGGCGAGUGGCGAACGGGUGAGUAAUACAUCGGAACGUGUCCUGUCGUGGGGGAUAACCAGUCGAAAGAUUGGCUAAUACCGCAUGAGAUCGAGAGAUGAAAGCAGGGGACCGCAAGGCCUUGCGCGAUUGGAGCGGCCGAUGUCGGAUUAGCUUGUUGGCGGGAUAAAAGCCCACCAAGGCGACGAUCUGUAGCUGGUUUGAGAGAACGACCAGCCACACUGGGACUGAGACACGGCCCAGACUCCUACGGGAGGCAGCAGUGGGGAAUUUUUGGACAAUGGGGGCAACCCUGAUCCAGCCAUGCCGCGUGUGUGAAGAA